UACAGAGGUCUCAAGCGUUGUUCGGAUUCAUUGGGCGUAAAGGGUGCGUAGGUGGCGCCGUAAGUCAGGUGUGAAAUUUCGGAGCUUAACUCCGAAACUGCAUUUGAUACUGCGGUGCUUGAGGACUGGAGAGGAGACUGGAAUUUACGGUGUAGCAGUGAAAUGCGUAGAGAUCGUAAGGAAGACCAGUGGCGAAGGCGGGUCUCUGG
rnacentral:rRNA from 1 species